AUUGAACGCUGGCGGCAUGCCUUACACAUGCAAGUCGAACGGCAGCACGGGGUGCUUGCACCUGGGUGGCGAGUGGCGAACGGGUGAGUAAUACAUCGGAACGUACCUUAUCGUGGGGGAUAACGCAGCGAAAGUUGCGCUAAUACCGCAUACGCCCUGAGGGGGAAAGCGGGGGACCGUAAGGCCUCGCGCGAUUAGAGCGGCCGAUGUCUGAUUAGCUUGUUGGUGAGGUAAAAGCUCACCAAGGCGAUGAUCAGUAGCUGGUCUGAGAGGACGAUCAGCCACACUGGGACUGAGACACGGCCCAGACUCCUACGGGAGGCAGCAGUGGGGAAUUUUGGACAAUGGGGGCAACCCUGAUCCAGCAAUGCCGCGUGAGUGAAGAAGGCCUUCGGGUUGUAAAGCUCUUUUGUCAGGGAAGAAACAGCAGCUCUAACACAGACUGCGAAUGACGGUACCUGAAGAAUAAGCACCGGCUAACUACGUGCCAGCAGCCGCGGUAAUACGUAGGGUGCGAGCGUUAAUCGGAAUUACUGGGCGUAAAGCGUGCGCAGGCGGUUAUACAAGACAGGCGUGAAAUCCCCGGGCUUAACCUGGGAAUGGCGUCUGUGACUGUAUAGCUAGAGUGUGUCAGAGGGGGGUGGAAUUCCACGUGUAGCAGUGAAAUGCGUAGAUAUGUGGAGGAACACCAAUGGCGAAGGCAGCCCCCUGGGAUAACAC
rnacentral:rRNA from 1 species